rnacentral:rRNA from 1 species
CAGCACGGGUAGCAAUAUCUGGUGGCGACCGGCGCACGGGUGCGUAACGCGUAUGCAAUCUACCUUUAACUGGUGAAUAGCCCGAAGAAAUUCGGAUUAACACACCAUAAUAUAUUAGAGUGGCAUCACUUUAAUAUUAAAACUCCGGUGGUUGAAGAUGAGCAUGCGUGACAUUAGCUAGUUGGUGAGGUAACGGCUCACCAAGGCUACGAUGUCUAGGGGAUCUGAGAGGAUUAACCCCCACACUGGUACUGAGACACGGACCAGACUCCUACGGGAGGCAGCAGUAAGGAAUAUUGGACAAUGGUGGAAACACUGAUCCAGCCAUGCCGCGUGAAGGAUGACGGCCCUAUGGGUUGUAAACUUCUUUUGUACGGGAAAAAACCUCUUUACGUGUAAAGAGCUGAUUGUACUGUAAGAAUAAGGAUCGGCUAACUCCGUGCCAGCAGCCGCGGUAAUACGGAGGAUCCAAGCGUUAUCCGGAUUCAUUGGGUUUAAAGGGUGC